rnacentral:rRNA from 1 species
CUACGGGUCGCUGCAGUGGGGAAUAUUGCACAAUGGGCGCAAGCCUGAUGCAGCCAUGCCGCGUGUAUGAAGAAGGCCUUCGGGUUGUAAAGUACUUUCAGCGGGGAGGAAGGGAGUAAAGUUAAUACCUUUGCUCAUUGACGUUACCCGCAGAAGAAGCACCGGCUAACUCCGUGCCAGCAGCCGCGGUAAUACGGAGGGUGCAAGCGUUAAUCGGAAUUACUGGGCGUAAAGCGCACGCAGGCGGUUUGUUAAGUCAGAUGUGAAAUCCCCGGGCUCAACCUGGGAACUGCAUCUGAUACUGGCAAGCUCGAGUCUCGUAGAGGGGGGUAGAAUUCCAGGUGUAGCGGUGAAAUGCGUAGAGAUCUGGAGGAAUACCGGUGGUGAAGGCGGCCCCCUGGACGAAGACUGACGCUCAGGUGCGAAAGCGUGGGGAGCAAACAGGAUUAGAUACCCCGGUAGUC